rnacentral:rRNA from 1 species
AGCUCCAAUAGCGUAUACUAACGUUGUUGCAGUUAAAAAGCUCGUAGUUGGAUUUCUUUCAUUCUCUCGCUUGGCCGGCCCUUCAAGGAUCGGACAGCGAAAGGUGAAAAAAUUUGUCUUAAUGCAUGCGUCUACUUAACUGUGGACGUAGGUUGAAAGACUCGUUUACUUUGAGAAAAUUAGAGUGUUCAAAGCAGGCGUUUGCCUUGAAUAUGUUAGCAUGGAAUAAUAGCAUAGGACUUCGGUUCUAUUUGUUGGUUGUUCACGAAACGAAGUAAUGAUUGAUAGGGACGGUUGGGGGCAUCCGUAUUCUCAAGCGAGAGGUGAAAUUCUUGGACCUUGGGAAGACGAACAGCUGCGAAAGCGUUCCGCAAGGAUGUUCCCU